rnacentral:tRNA from 1 species
GCCAGCAUGGCAUAGUGGUUUGAGCAUUGGACUAUGACUCUGAAGACUAGGGUUCGAAUACCGGCUCAGCCG